CCUACGGGAGGCAGCAGUGAGGAAUAUUGGUCAAUGGGCGUAAGCCUGAACCAGCCAAGUCGCGUGAGGGAUGAAUGUUCUACGGAUUGUAAACCUCUUUUAUAAGGGAAUAAAGUGAGGGACGUGUGCCAUUUUGUAUGUACCUUAUGAAUAAGGAUCGGCUAACUCCGUGCCAGCAGCCGCGGUAAUACGGAGGAUCCGAGCGUUAUCCGGAUUUAUUGGGUUUAAAGGGCGCGUAGGCGGUGUGUUAAGUCAGUGGUGAAAGUUUGGGGCUCAACCGUAAAAUUGCAGUUGAAACUGGGAGUCGUGAGUAUGGUUGAGGCAGGCGGAAUUCGUGGUGUAGCGGUGAAAUGCUUAGAUAUCACGAAGAACUCCGAUUGCGAAGGCAGCUUACUAAGC
rnacentral:rRNA from 1 species